rnacentral:rRNA from 1 species
AGAGUUUGAUCCUGGCUCAGGAUGAACGCUAGCUACAGGCUUAACACAUGCAAGUCGAGGGGCAGCAUGGUCUUAGCUUGCUAAGGCCGAUGGCGACCGGCGCACGGGUGAGUAACACGUAUCCAACCUGCCGUCUACUCUUGGACAGCCUUCUGAAAGGAAGAUUAAUACAAGAUGGCAUCAUGAGUCCACAUGUUCACAUGAUUAAAGGUAUUCCGGUAGACGAUGGGGAUGCGUUCCAUUAGAUAGUAGGCGGGGUAACGGCCCACCUAGUCUUCGAUGGAUAGGGGUUCUGAGAGGAAGGUCCCCCACAUUGGAACUGAGACACGGUCCAAACUCCUACGGGAGGCAGCAGUGAGGAAUAUUGGUCAAUGGGCGAGAGCCUGAACCAGCCAAGUAGCGUGAAGGAUGACUGCCCUAUGGGUUGUAAACUUCUUUUAUAAAGGAAUAAAGUCGGGUAUGCAUACCCGUUUGCAUGUACUUUAUGAAUAAGGAUCGGCUAACUCCGUGCCAGCAGCCGCGGUAAUACGGAGGAUCCGAGCGUUAUCCGGAUUUAUUGGGUUUAAAGGGAGCGUAGAUGGAUGUUUAAGUCAGUUGUGAAAGUUUGCGGCUCAACCGUAAAAUUGCAGUUGAUACUGGAUAUCUUGAGUGCAGUUGAGGCAGGCGGAAUUCGUGGUGUAGCGGUGAAAUGCUUAGAUAUCACGAAGAACUCCGAUUGCGAAGGCAGCCUGCUAAGCUGCAACUGACAUUGAGGCUCGAAAGUGUGGGUAUCAAACAGGAUUAGAUACCCUGGUAGUCCACACGGUAAACGAUGAAUACUCGCUGUUUGCGAUAUACGGCAAGCGGCCAAGCGAAAGCGUUAAGUAUUCCACCUGGGGAGUACGCCGGCAACGGUGAAACUCAAAGGAAUUGACGGGGGCCCGCACAAGCGGAGGAACAUGUGGUUUAAUUCGAUGAUACGCGAGGAACCUUACCCGGGCUUAAAUUGCAGAUGAAUUACGGUGAAAGCCGUAAGCCGCAAGGCAUCUGUGAAGGUGCUGCAUGGUUGUCGUCAGCUCGUGCCGUGAGGUGUCGGCUUAAGUGCCAUAACGAGCGCAACCCUUGUUGUCAGUUACUAACAGGUUCUGCUGAGGACUCUGACAAGACUGCCAUCGUAAGAUGUGAGGAAGGUGGGGAUGACGUCAAAUCAGCACGGCCCUUACGUCCGGGGCUACACACGUGUUACAAUGGGGGGUACAGAGGGCCGCUACCACGCGAGUGGAUGCCAAUCCCAAAAACCUCUCUCAGUUCGGACUGGAGUCUGCAACCCGACUCCACGAAGCUGGAUUCGCUAGUAAUCGCGCAUCAGCCAUGGCGCGGUGAAUACGUUCCCGGGCCUUGUACACACCGCCCGUCAAGCCAUGAAAGCCGGGGGUACCUGAAGUACGUAACCGCAAGGAGCGUCCUAGGGUAAAACUGGUAAUUGGGGCUAAGUCGUAACAAGGUAGCCGUACCGGAAGGUGCGGCUG